rnacentral:rRNA from 1 species
UACGGGGGGGGCAAGCGUUGUUCGGAAUUACUGGGCGUAAAGGGCGCGUAGGCGGCCUUCUAAGUCAGACGUGAAAUCCCUCGGCUCAACCGAGGAACUGCGUCUGAUACUGGAAGGCUUGAAUCCGGGAGAGGGAUGUGGAAUUCCAGGUGUAGCGGUGAAAUGCGUAGAUAUCUGGAGGAACACCGGUGGCGAAGGCGGCAUCCUGGACCGGUAUCGACGCUGAGGCGCGAAAGCUAGGGGAGCAAACGGG